CAGGUUUUCAAAAUUGAAAUGAAUUCUUAUCUGCUACUUUUUGUUUCCCAACCGUUCAUUUCACCUUUCACUCAGUCCAGAGGUUCUGACCACAAGUUCUCCAGCACUUGACGAACCGAUUCUGGGAUUUCUCCUAGCAGUUUAACUGCUUGUAAACCUACAUAUGCUUCUGCCAUGAACGGAGUUGCUAUCUCGGAGUGUAUGACUGCUUGUGAUGCAAGGAUCUCCCCCUCUGCAUUUCGUACAAGCAAACCCGUAGCCGAUCUGGACGAUUGUCGGUCAAACGCUGCGUCAAAAUGGAUUGUGACCCUUCCGCUUCUACAUACCUGUUGGGUAUUUCCAGUAGAGUUAAGAUCGGUUUCUGCUGUACCAUAUUAACCAAAGUCCACAACAGAUAAGUCGGAUCUGUUCAAUAGUCCCUUGACCGAAGAUCCAGGACACUUUUGAAAAAUGUGGAAACUGUCUUCCUCUUCUUGGCGACACCUGAGGCAUUGAGCUUCCAUCACAACCCUCUUGCUUCUGAGAUUGACAAGGGACGGAAUGAGGUUCCAUGAGAGUCUCCAUACUGUAAUUUGGAUUUUGGAUGGGAUGUGUAAUUUCCAUAGUUUCCUAUAAAAGUUUUUAAUUUCGACAUGUAAAUUAAAAGUAAUAGGAUCCGUGCUAGUCUCAUGUAAUAGUUUAUAGGCACUCCUAAUGGAGAACUCCCCUGACAGCUCCCCUCUCCAUACUUGAAAAUCCUCGUGUUCUACCUCAGCUAGUGGAAUCUGCAAUAUUUUUUCCGCUAUAUGCAUUCGAAAGAUAUUUGAUCACCUCUCCCAACCCUCCAACACAAACCUGUUUCCAGCAACCCUCUCGCGGACCAAACACUCUUCCAGGUGAGUGAAGGUAAAUUUCCUAACCGAGCUUGGUAGAAAUUCGAAUUUGGAUAAUACUUUGCCUUCAAAACGCGAGAUAAUAAUGAAUUUGGGUAAUUAACAAGACGCCACCCCUGUUUUGCUAAUAACGCAACAUUAAACUUUGCAAGAUCUCUGAAACCCAAGCCACCGUCUUCUUUUAAUAAACAUAGGUCUUUCCAAGCGCACCAAUGAAUACAUUUCCAAUUUCGACCCUUUUGCCACCAAAAUUUGGCUAUUAUACUCUCCAAAUCGGUACAUAGAGCCUUCGGUAGUAGAAAGCAAGACAUUGCAUAAGUUGGGAUAGACUGGAGUAUAGCUUUUAUAAAAACUUCUUUUCCUCCCUGGGAUAGAUAUCUUAUACUCAAGUUGUCAAUUCUUUGUUUCAAUCUAUCCUUCAAAUUUUGAAAAGAUGAUCUCUUUUUUCUACCUACCAUAUUAGGAAGUCCUAAAUAUCGUUCUGGAUCAGUUGAUCUUCGUACACCAAGUAUCCGAGAAACUGUAACCCUUUCCCCUUCAAGUGUAUUGGUACUGAAAAAUACAGUAGAUUUAUCAUAAUUGACACAUUGACCUGAACUCAUCUCAUACCCCUUCAAAAUAUGUCUUAGAGAAUGUGCUCCCCUUUCAGUAGCUUCUGCAAAUAAGAUACAGUCAUCUGCAAAGAGUAGAUGUGAAAUGGUUGGACCACUUCGACUAACUUUAACUCCGUGAAGAAUAUUGUUCGCUUUCGCAAGUCUCAUUAGACUAGAGAGCCCUUCCCUACAGAAUAAAAACAAAAACGGACUUAAAGGGUCUCCUUGUCUAAGACCUCUAGAUGGAAGAAAAGUUUCUCCUAUAUUUCCAUUUAAAACGACAGAAUAUGAUACUGUAGACAUACUUUUCAUUAACAAAUCAACCCAUCCUGGGUCAAAUCCCAUUUUCUUCACUACCCCCUCCACAAAAUUCCAUUCAACCCUAAUAGGCCUUGCUCAUGUUUAACUUUACUACCAUCAGCCUUUUCUUCCCUUUCUUCUUGUGUUUUAAAGUGUGCAGAAUUUCAUAUGCUAGUAACACAUUAUCAAAAAUCAGCCUCCCUGGAACAAAUGCAUUUUAUGCCUGAUCAAUAAAUUUAUGAAUCACUACCCGAAGCCGAUUAGCAAUGACCUUGGCUAUCAGUUUGUAAAGCACAUUACAUAGACUAAUUGGUUGAAAUUGUGUAAUAUUGGAAGGAUUCAGAAUUUUUGGGAUUAGCACAAUAUUCGUUUUAUUAAUCGAAUGCAGAUCCAUACCUUCAUUUAAUUUUUGAAGGCAGAAAGAAGAGACAUCCUCCCCAAUAAUCGGCCAACAUUUUUGAUAAAAUAAGGCUGGAAAACCAUCCUCUCCUGGAGCUUUUGUAGGACCCAUUUCUGAUAGAGCUUCUCGUAUCUCCUCCUUGGUGUAAAUUGCUUUUAAUUUAUAAUUAUCUUCCUCUAAAAUGCACCAGUUAAUUCCUGCCAAAAUUGUAUCGUAGUUAUCCUGUUGUCCUUCUGAAAAUAACUUCGUAAAGUAAGAUCUGGCAAUUCCUUCCAUCUCUUUAA